AAACUUACCUUGCAGGGGAGAUACCAUGACAGAUUAGUUUUUCAGGGUAAGGCUCAUCUAUUGCACUCCAGGUGUGCUGACCCCUGUGAUUUCUCCAAAUGCAGAGAACUUGACUGCAUGAUUUAUGGUAGCAGGGGAUGGUGUUCACACUUUCUUCUG